rnacentral:lncRNA from 1 species
AUAUUCCCAUUAUAUUUGCAUUUCAACCUCUGCAUUUCAAACAUAUUCAAUAUCAGCAGAAAAGGAAAACAACUCUCGGUUGCUUCUAAACAAACAUUGCUGACUUUAAUGGCCUUAUUCUGUAAUUACAACAGAAAACAUGACUUUGAAGGGUAAAUACUACUAUAAUUGCAGCUUUUGACAUACAAGGUUAAGAACAGCUAGCUGUUGCUAUCAACUUAGGCAUCCAUGUUUCAUUGUCCUUCAAUGAAAGGGAUUAGAGACAAAAAAAAAAUAGUUAUGGGGUUUGAAUUUUAAUCAAUAAUUACAUCACCAUCAUUUAACCCGUAGCUUUUCUCAUCACCUUCUCCCCACUUCAAAAUGAUUGUCCAAACACAAUCCAUAACACAAUCCACUUCAAAAUUUUGAAGCGUGUAUAAUGUAAACGAACCGAACAGAAAAACCUUUUUGGACAUACACAAUCCAUAACAUUUUCCAGCUAUGAAACAGGAUUGAAGGUAUUCAAUCAUAAAUUAUUUUAUUUCAUCAAAAGCAUUUCCCUAUUUUAAGCAUUAAUUUUAAUUUUAUUAGGUAUGUAAAAAUUACAUAUUUAAAAUAUAUGUCAGACCACAUAAACACUUAGAUUUAAGACCCAGAAAACAUCUAACAUACCGAAUAAUACAAGAAAUAGAAAACGAACUUACCUUAACUGCAAUGAACAGCAGACGACUUCACUCGUAGAAAAUAAGAGCAACAAUUGGAAUGCCCAAGUUGAAUGGCCUACAGAUAGCAACAGAAGCAACACGGAAUUUAAAAAGAAAGGAAAAACAAAGCGAGCAUUAGAGAAAGAAAAAAUCAAACAGAAAAAUGAACAGCUAUAUACGUAUUCAACGGAAAAAUUAGGGAUUUGGAAAGAUUUUUACUAGUCAGCCCAGACGAGAAGCAACAUUCGAUCGAGAAGAGGGGAAAUUGUCGUUGAAGGGGUGAAAGGUCUAUGGAAUUUAAAGAGAAAGGAAAAACAAAGCGGGCAUUAGAGAAAGAAAAAAUCGAACAGAAAAAUGAACAGCCAUAUACGGAGUCAACGAAGAAAUUAGAGAUUUGGAAAGUUUUUUACUAGUCAGCCCAGACGAGAAGCGAUAUUCGACCGAGAAGAGGGGAAAUCGUCGUUGAAGAGGUGAAAGGUCUAGGGAUUUGCAGGAGAGAAGAAAGAUGGAGGGAGAGUCGGGGUGGGGGAGUUUUAGAA